rnacentral:rRNA from 1 species
GCAGGCUUAACACAUGCAAGUCGAGGGGCAGCAUGCUUUUAGCGUGCUAAGGCCGAUGGCGACCGGCGCACGGGUGAGUAACACGUAUCCAACCUGCCGUCUACUCUUGGACACUCUUCUGAAAGGAAGAUUAAUACAAGAUGGCAUCAUGAGUCCGCAUGUUCACAUGAUUAAAGGUAUUCCGGUAGACGAUGGGGAUGCGUUCCAUUAGAUAGUAGGCGGGGUAACGGCCCACCUAGUCUUCGAUGGGUAGGGGUUCUGAGAGGAAGGUCCCCCACAUUGGAACUGAGACACGGUCCAAACUCCUACGGGAGGCAGCAGUGAGGAAUAUUGGUCAAUGGGCGAGAGCCUGAACCAGCCAAGUAGCGUGAAGGAUGACUGCCCUAUGGGUUGUAAACUUCUUUUAUAAAGGAAUAAAGUCGGGUAUGGAUACCCGUUUGCAUGUACUUUAUGAAUAAGGAUCGGCUAACUCCGUGCCAGCAGCCGCGGUAAUACGGAGGAUCCGAGCGUUAUCCGGAUUUAUUGGGUUUAAAGGGAGCGUAGAUGGAUGUUUAAGUCAGUUGUGAAAGUUUGCGGCUCAACCGUAAAAUUGCAGUUGAUACUGGAUAUCUUGAGUGCAGUUGAGGCAGGCGGAAUUCGUGGUGUAGCGGUGAAAUGCUUAGAUAUCACGAAGAACUCCGAUUGCGAAGGCAGCCUGCUAAGCUGCAACUGACAUUGAGGCUCGAAAGUGUGGGUAUCAAACAGGAUUAGAUACCCUGGUAGUCCACACGGUAAACGAUGAAUACUCGCUGUUUGCGAUAUACUGCAAGCGGCCAAGCGAAAGCGUUAAGUAUUCCACCUGGGGAGUACGCCGGCAACGGUGAAACUCAAAGGAAUUGACGGGGGCCCGCACAAGCGGAGGAACAUGUGGUUUAAUUCGAUGAUACGCGAGGAACCUUACCCGGGCUUAAAUUGCAGAUGAAUUACGGUGAAAGCCGUAAGCCGCAAGGCAUCUGUGAAGGUGCUGCAUGGUUGUCGUCAGCUCGUGCCGUGAGGUGUCGGCUUAAGUGCCAUAACGAGCGCAACCCUUGUUGUCAGUUACUAACAGGUUCCGCUGAGGACUCUGACAAGACUGCCAUCGUAAGAUGUGAGGAAGGUGGGGAUGACGUCAAAUCAGCACGGCCCUUACGUCCGGGGCUACACACGUGUUACAAUGGGGGGUACAGAGGGCCGCUACCACGCGAGUGGAUGCCAAUCCCCAAAACCUCUCUCAGUUCGGACUGGAGUCUGCAACCCGACUCCACGAAGCUGGAUUCGCUGGUAAUCGCGCAUCAGCCACGGGAGGGUGAAUACGUUCCCGGGCCUUGUACACACCGCCCGUCAAGCCAUGGGAGCCGGGGGUACCUGAAGUGCGUAAAAGGGAGGAGCGCCCUAGGGUAAAACUGGUGAC